UUUCCGCAGGUGAACCUGCGGAAGGAUCAUUAUUGUAUAACCGAGGUGCGAGGGCUGUCGCUGACCCGAAAGGUCGUGCACGCCCGAGUGCCCUCACACACAUCCAUCUCACCCCUGUGUGCACCACCGCGUGGGUCCCCCUUUGGCUUGUUCGGAGGGGGGCUUACGUUUUCACACAAACUUUGUAUGCAGUGUAGAAUGUAUUUUUUGUUUUUGCGAUCACGCAAUCAAUACAACUUUCAACAACGGAUCUCUUGGCUCUCGCAUCGAUAAGAACGCAGC
rnacentral:misc_RNA from 1 species